UCCAAAAUGAAAUUCUAAUGAAAUGAAUAUUCAGAAUGAAGUUCUAAUAAAAUUAAUAUAUCCUGAAUGAAGUUAUAAACAAAUGAAUAUCUUCUUGUUCUUCGCAAAAUACCUGAAAUGAAAUUGAACCUGUACAGAAGAGAGGGUCCGCAAGACUGGAGCCGGUCUGGUCUGGUGGGCACAGGUGUUGCUGUUUGAAUGGCAGAUCAAAAAGUGCCUUUUCAGCCUAAAAAUCAGCUUGGAAAAGCAGCAGAAGUGAAUUCGACACAGACGUCAUGGAUAAAACAGAGCAGUGGAUGGUGGUUUGUAGGUCAGGCGCUGCUAUAAAGAGCAGAGGAAAGCUGCCCAGAGCUCACGUGACGACUGUAGGCUUACAGAGUGGAGCCUUUGUCAUCUCUGCUUUGUGUCAGUCAUAGUAGAAACUUAAUACACUGGCAAGCGUCAAAUUUAAAGACAGCAGACAGAAGUUUGAACUCUAUGUUUGAACAGUACUUGUUCAUUAAAAUGUGCUGAAUUUCAUACUAUUAUCUUUUAAAAUGUACAAAUUCAGGCUUUAAGAUUGCCUAAGCUAUUGUUUUAGCUAGGUGACGUACUUUAGUCCAUGUUUGUAGAUGACAGUGUGUCAUAGAGAGUCAUAAGCAAGUCUGUUCCAUAUUACUGAUCAACUCCACACGGUUAUAGGAUAUUAAUUUUAGAUUCGAUGUGCAUCAGUGUGAAGAUAUCAAAAGUUGCUCCAAGACAAAAUAAA